rnacentral:lncRNA from 1 species
GAAUGUGACCAACAUGUCCCCUCUUGAAGGUGACAUAAAGUAGACUAUACAGGUUACUAAAGAUAAAGGUUACAUAAUAGACUAUACAGGUUACAUAAAGUAGACGGUACAGGUUACAUAAAGUAGACUAUACAGGUUACAUAGAGUAGACUAUACAGGUUACAUAAAGUAGACAUACAGGUUACAUAAGAUAACUAACAGGUUUGUGUUAAUAGAGUAGACUAUACAGGCUACAUAAAGUAGACGGACAGGUUACAUAAAGUAGACUAUCAGUUACAAAGUAGACUAUACAGGUGACAUAAGAGUAGACUAUACAGGUUUACAUAAGAGUAGCUUACCAGGGUACAUAAGUUAGACUAUACAGUACAUAAGUAGACUAUACAGGUUAAUAAAGUAGACUAUACAGGUUACAUAAAGAGACUAUACAGGUUACAUAAAGUAGACUAUACAGGUUACAUAAAGUAGACUAGACGUGGUACAUAAAGUAGACUAGACAGGUUCAUAAGUAGACUAGACAGGUACAUAAGUAACUAUACAGGUUACAUAGAGUAGACUGACAGGUUACAUAAAGUAAGACUAGACAGGUUACAUAAGUAGACUAUACAGGUUACAUAAAGUAGACUAUCAGUUACAUAGAGUAGACUAUACAGGUUACAUAAAGUAGACUAUACAGGUACAUAGAUAACUACGUUAACAUAAGUAGACUAGACAGGUUACAUAAAGUGACGUAUACAGGUUCAUAAGUAGACUAUACAGGUUACAUAGAGAGACUGUACAGGUUACAUAAAGUAGACUAUACAGGUUACAUAAAGUAGACUAUACAUGUACAUAAAGUAGACUAUAGAGGUCACAUAAGUUACAUAAGUAGACGAUACAGGCUACAUAAAGUAGACUAUACAGGUACAUAGAGUAGACUGUACAGGUUACAUAAAAGAGACUAUACAGGUUACAUAAGAGCUAUACAGUUACAUAGAUUAGCUAUAGAGGUCACAUAAGAGUCAGGUUAAAUAAAGUAGACUAUAGAGGUCACAUAAGUAGAC